UGAUUGAGUCGUGCCAAUAUC
rnacentral:miRNA from 2 species